GAUGAACGCUGGCGGCGUGCCUAAUACAUGCAAGUCGAGCGAACAGACGAGGAGCUUGCUCCUCUGACGUUAGCGGCGGACGGGUGAGUAACACGUGGAUAACCUCCCUAUAAGACUGGGAUAACUUCGGGAAACCGGAGCUAAUACCGGAUAAUAUAUUGAACCGCAUGGUUCAAUAGUGAAAGACGGUUUUGCUGUCACUUAUAGAUGGUUCCGCGCCGCAUUAGCUAGUUGGUAAGGUAACGGCUUACCAAGGCAACGAUGCGUAGCCGACCUGAGAGGGUGAUCGGCCACACUGGAACUGAGACACGGUCCAGACUCCUACGGGAGGCAGCAGUAGGGAAUCGUCCGCAAUGGGCGAAAGCCUGACGGAGCAACGCCGCGUGAGUGAUGAAGGUCUUCGGAUCGUAAAACUCUGUUAUUAGGGAAGAACAAAUGUGUAAGUAACUAUGCACGUCUUGACGGUACCUAAUCAGAAAGCCACGGCUAACUACGUG
rnacentral:rRNA from 1 species